CAGGGACAGUGCCUCUCCCUGAGCUGCCAGCAGACAGAGCCCCAGGAAUCUAGACUUCAUUCUGUACUCGAAAAUUUGGCCGUUAUCCAAUUUUUCUUACGGAUUAUAGGAGAACAGCCAGCUGCUCGCUGUGCUAGGCACAUUUGGAUUGACCUGGAGAAUUACUACUGUAUGAGGUGCAUUUCACUUACCUCCAGGAUCACAUAAUACAGUUGAAAGGGUAGCAAAGACAGCACAACAGCCAUUCAUAACAACUAUCUGAAACAAGUGGACAAAAUGGUAUCAACAGAACUACCAACACCUUUGUGACUGGUUAGAAGGUAAUACUUAGAAAAGUAAAGAAGAUUGGAUUUGAUAAGAACUUUAUUAAAA